rnacentral:rRNA from 1 species
AACGGUAACAGGAAGCAGCUUGCUGCUUCGCUGACGAGUGGCGGACGGGUGAGUAAUGUCUGGGAAACUGCCUGAUGGAGGGGGAUAACUACUGGAAACGGUGGCUAAUACCGCAUAACGUCGCAAGACCAAAGAGGGGGACCUUCGGGCCUCUUGCCAUCAGAUGUGCCCAGAUGGGAUUAGCUAGUUGGUGAGGUAACGGCUCACCAAGGCGACGAUCCCUAGCUGGUCUGAGAGGAUGACCAGCCACACUGGAACUGAGACACGGUCCAGACUCCUACGGGAGGCAGCAGUGGGGAAUAUUGCACAAUGGGCGCAAGCCUGAUGCAGCCAUGCCGCGUGUAUGAAGAAGGCCUUCGGGUUGUAAAGUACUUUCAGCGGGGAGG